AUCUGGUGGUGUGGGAACUAGAACACAAAUUCUUGAAUCUCUCCCAAUAUUCGUACAGACUCUCCCCAGAUUGCUGCUUGAUUCCAGAAAUCUCCUUUAUUAUGGU